GCCCCGGUGGUGUAACGGAAGCACACCAUCCCCUCAAGAUGGAGGCGGGGGUUCGAUCCCUUCCCGGGGUCCCG
rnacentral:tRNA from 1 species